rnacentral:rRNA from 1 species
UGCAAGUCGAACGAAGUAGCAAUACUUAGUGGCAGACGGGUGAGUAACAUGUAGGUACCUACCCUAUGGCCUGGAAUAACACGAGGAAACUUGUGCUAAUACCGGAUAAGUCUUUACAGAGAAAGCUUUAUGCACCAUUGGACGAGCCUGCACUUGAUUAGUUUGUUGGUGGGGUAAUGGCCUACCAAGACUGUGAUCAAUAGCUGAUUUGAGAGGAUGAUCAGCCACAUUGGGACUGAGACACGGCCCAAACUCCUACGGGAGGCAGCAGUGGGGAAUCUUGCACAAUGGAGGAAACUCUGAUGCAGCGAUGCCGCGUGAGUGAAGAAGGCCUUUGGGUUGUAAAGCUCUUUCGUCGGGGAAGAAAAUGACUGUACCCGAAUAAGAAGGUCCGGCUAACUUCGUGCCAGCAGCCGCGGUAAUACGAAGGGACCUAGCGUAGUUCGGAAUUACUGGGCUUAAAGAGUUCGUAGGUGGUUGAAAAAGUUGGUGGUGAAAUCCCAGAGCUUAACUCUGGAACUGCCAUCAAAACUUUUCAGCUAGAGUAUGAUAGAGGAAAGCAGAAUUUCUAGUGUAGAGGUGAAAUUCGUAGAUAUUAGAAAGAAUACCAAUUGCGAAGGCAGCUUUCUGGAUCAUUACUGACACUGAGGAACGAAAGCAUGGGUAGCGAAGAGGAUUAGAUACCCUCGUAGUCCAUGCCGUAAACGAUGUGUGUUAGACGUUGGAAAUUUAUUUUCAGUGUCGCAGUGAAAGCGAUAAACACACCGCCUGGGGAGUACGACCGCAAGGUUAAAACUCAAAUGAAUUGACGGGGACCCGCACAAGUAGUGGAGCAUGUGGUUUAAUUCGAAGAUACGCGCAGAACCUUACCAACACUUGACAUGUUCGUCGCGACUUUAAGAGAUUAAAGUUUUCGGUUCGGCCGGACGAAACACAGG